rnacentral:rRNA from 1 species
GAUGAACGCUGGCGGCGUGCCUAAUACAUGCAAGUCGAGCGAACGGACGAGAAGCUUGCUUCUCUGAUGUUAGCGGCGGACGGGUGAGUAACACGUGGAUAACCUACCUAUAAGACUGGGAUAACUUCGGGAAACCGGAGCUAAUACCGUAUAAUAUUUUGAACCGCAUGGUUCAAAAGUGAAAGACGGUCUUGCUGUCACUUAUAGCUGGAUCCGCGCUGCAUUAGCUAGUUGGUAAGGUAACGGCUUACCAAGGCAACGAUGCAUAGCCGACCUGAGAGGGUGAUCGGCCACACUGGAACUGAGACACGGUCCAGACUCCUACGGGAGGCAGCAGUAGGGAAUCUUCCGCAAUGGGCGAAAGCCUGACGGAGCAACGCCGCGUGGGUGAUGAAGGUCUUCGGAUCGUAAAACUCUGUUAUUAGGGAAGAACAUAUGUGUAAGUAACUGUGCACAUCUUGACGGUACCUAAUCAGAAAGCCACGGCUAACUACGUG